GCUCUUUUCAAGAUGCACACAAGGGACCGAAUCAUUUAAUGUGGGGCGAUCUCAAGUCGACUACUGUAGAUACAGUGAUACAACAUUCGCUCUGACAUCCGUUAAUGACUCCUACCAUAUUUGCAUUAUACUAAGUGUUCUUAUCCUAGCAUUGUGAAGCAAACGUCUCCUGAUCGCGCUUCUCUUCACAUAUACUGAGGGUGGCAAUAAUAGCGAGCUUUGGCAAGCGACGUUUUUGUCAAGAUGGAUGUCAGAUUGCCGAGGGAGGACUGGAUUAAAAACUGUGUUUGUAUCAGUUUGUGGUAAUCUUCAACAUAUAUGACAAAACAUCAGAUUUUUAAAGCUUUUUGCUGCCUUACAUGAGCGCUAUGAUGCAAAUACACCUGGAAAGUUCUUAUCUGCGGCUAUACAACUUCAUUUCUGUGUUUGAGGCAUUU